rnacentral:rRNA from 1 species
GCGCACCAGUCGAGAAUACUGUGCAAUGCGCGAAAGCGCGACACGGGAAGCCUGAGUGCCUUAACACAGUUAAGGCUUUUCUCAAGCCUAAAAAGCUUGAGGAAUAAGAGCUGGGCAAGACGGGUGCCAGUCGCCGCGGUAACACCCGCAGCUCGAGUGGUGGUCACUUUUAUUGAGCCUAAAGCGUUUGUAGCCGGAUCCGUAAAUCUUCAGGCAAAUUCCUUCGCUUAACGAAGGAUCUUCUGGAGAGACUGCGGAUCUAGGGACCGGGUGAGGUUGAAUGUACUUCUGGGGUAGGGGUAAAAUCCUGUAAUCCUGGAAGGACGACCGGUGGCGAAGGCGUUCAACUAGAACGGAUCCGACGGUGAGGAAUGAGGGCUAGGGGAGCAAACCGGAUUAGAUACCCCCGUAGUCC